rnacentral:sRNA from 1 species
AUUCUGCCCAAGCGGGGAAGGAUGAGAAGCUUCGACCAAGGUUCGACUCGAGCGCCAGCGAGAGAGCGUUGCCGCAGGCAACG